AUUGAACGCUGGCGGCAUGCUUUACACAUGCAAGUCGGACGGCAGCACGGAGGAGCUUGCUUCUUGGGUGGCCAGUGGCGAACGGGUGAGUAACGCAUCGGAACGUACCGAGUAAUGGGGGAUAACUGUCCGAAAGGACAGCUAAUACCGCAUACGCCCUGAGGGGGAAAGCGGGGGAUCUUAGGACCUCGCGUUAUUCGAGCGGCCGAUGUCUGAUUAGCUGGUUGGCGGGGUAAAGGCCCACCAAGGCGACGAUCAGUAGCGGGUCUGAGAGGAUGAUCAGCCACACUGGGACUGAGACACGGCCCAGACUCCUACGGGAGGCAGCAGUGGGGAAUUUUGGACAAUGGGCGCAAGCCUGAUCCAGCCAUGCCGCGUGUCUGAAGAAGGCCUUCGGGUUGUAAAGGACUUUUGUCAGGGAAGAAAAGGGGCAUGUUAAUACCGUGCUCUGAUGACGGUACCUGAAGAAUAAGCACCGGCUAACUACGUG
rnacentral:rRNA from 1 species